rnacentral:sRNA from 1 species
GUAACGGCGAGUGAAGCGGCAACAGCUCAAAUUUGAAAGCUGGCCCCCCCGGGGGUCCGCGUUGUAAUUUGUAGAGGAUGAUUCGGCGAGGGCUCCCGCCUAAGUCCCCUGGAACGGGGCGUCAUAGAGGGUGAGAAUCCCGUAUGCGGUGGGCUGCCUUAGCCAUGUGAAUCUCCUUCGACGAGUCGAGUUGUUUGGGAAUGCAGCUCUAAAUGGGAGGUAAAUUUCUUCUAAAGCUAAAUACCGGCCAGAGACCGAUAGCGCACAAGUAGAGUGAUCGAAAGAUGAAAAGCACUUUGGAAAGAGAGUUAAAAAGUACGUGAAAUUGUUGAAAGGGAAGCGCUUGCAGCCAGACUUGUCCGCAGUUGCUCAGCCGGUCUCCUGACCGGCGCACUCUUCUGCGGCCAGGCCAGCAUCAGUUCGGGCGGUCGGAUAAAGGCCCCGGGAACGUAGCUCCUCUCGGGGAGUGUUAUAGCCCGGGGUGGAAUGCGGCCAGCCUGGACUGAGGAUCUCGCUUCGGCUAGGAUGCUGGCGUAAUGGCUGUAAGCGGCCCGUCUUGAAACACGGACCAAGGAGUCUAACAUCUAUGCGAGUGUUUGGGUGUCAAACCCAUGCGCGUAAUGAAAGUGAACGGAGGUGGGAACCCUCGCGGGUGCACCAUCGACCGAUCCUGAUGUCUUCGGAUGGAUUUGAGUAAGAGCAUAGCUGUUGGGACCCGAAAGAUGGUGAACUAUGCCUGAAUAGGGUGAAGCCAGAGGAAACUCUGGUGGAGGCUCGCAGCGGUUCUGACGUGCAAAUCGAUCGUCAAAUUUGGGUAUAGGGGCGAAAGACUAAUCGAACCAUCGACUACUAGGUGGUUAAGAGGUGGCUGAAAGUGCCCACCUAGUCCCCCCGUCCUCGGACGGGGGGGCGACAUCGCCAAAUUGCGGGGACUCCCUUAGAGCCUCUACUACCGCGGCCGGCCGAAAGGCGCGGUGCAGCACCGGGUUAAUUGCCUAGGGUACGGUAAAAAGGUAGAGGAUUGGGAAAUCCGCAGCCAAGCGCCUAAGUCCCGCGGGAUACGGCGAAGGUUCAGAGACU